GACGAACGCUGGCGGCGUGCUUAACACAUGCAAGUCGUACGGUAAGGCCCUUUCGGGGGUACACGAGUGGCGCACGGGUGAGUAACACGUGAGUAACCUGCCCACAACUUUGGGAUAACGCUAGGAAACUGGUGCUAAUACUGGAUAUGUGCUCCUGCUGCAUGGUGGGGGUUGGAAAGCUCCGGCGGUUGUGGAUGGACUCGCGGCCUAUCAGCUUGUUGGUGGGGUAGUGGCCUACCAAGGCGGCGACGGGUAGCCGGCCUGAGAGGGUGACCGGCCACAUUGGGACUGAGAUACGGCCCAGACUCCUACGGGAGGCAGCAGUGGGGAAUAUUGCACAAUGGGCGCAAGCCUGAUGCAGCAACGCCGCGUGCGGGAUGACGGCCUUCGGGUUGUAAACCGCUUUCAGCAGGGACGAAGCUUUUUGUGACGGUACCUGCAGAAGAAGCACCGGCUAACUACGU
rnacentral:rRNA from 1 species